AUUGAAUGCUGACGGCGUGGAUGAGGCAUGCAAGUCGCACGAAAGCUUUAAGCUUUAGUGGCGAAAGGGUUAGUAAUGCAUGGGCAAUCCACCUUUAACAUUGGGAUAACAACUGGAAACGGCUGCUAAUACCAAAUAUGGUGAGACAAGGCAUCUUGUCUUCAUUAAAGUGGGGGAUCUUCGGACCUCGCGGUUAAAGAGGAGCCCAUGUGAUAUCAGCUAGUUGGAGUGGUAACGGCACACCAAGGCUAAGACGUCUCGUCGGAUUGAGAGAUUGACCGCCAACACUGGGACUGAGACACUGCCCAGACUCCUACGGGAGGCUGCAGUCGAGAAUCAUUCGCAAUGGGCGCAAGCCUGACGAUGCGACGCCGUGUGGACGAUGAAGGCCUUCGGGUUGUAAAGUCCUUCCGCCUGGGAACAAGAGAUGCAUACUAAUACUGUGCAAAUUUGAGGGUACCAGGUAAAGAAGCACCGGCUAACUCCGUGCCAGCAGCCGCAGUAA
rnacentral:rRNA from 1 species